UUAAAAAGCUCGUAGUUGGAUUUCUGGCCGAGUGUCCCCAGGCCAGCAUGACGUUUGGUCCUGGGCGCUCUGCCAUCCUUCUGUCAACCUUCGCCUCGUUCGUUCGUGGCGUUGGGGCUCAGAUAUUUUACCUUGAGAAAAUUAGAGUGUUUCAGGCAGGCUUUCGCCGGAAUACAUUAGCAUGGAAUAAUGGAAAAGGACUUCAACCUCUUCUGUUGGUCUGAGAGGCUGUAGUAAUGAUUAAUAGGGAUAGUUGGGGGCAUUAGUACUUAACUGUCAGAGGUGAAAUUCUCCGAUUUGUUAAAGACUAACUUAUGCGAAAGCAUUUGCCAAGGAUGUUUUCAUUAAUCAAGAACGAAAGUUAGGGGAUCAAAGACGAUCAGAUACCGUCCUAGUCUUAACCAUAAACUAUGCCGACUCGGGAUCGGGGGCACGCAGUAUCGGCCUUCGGCACCGUAUGAGAAAUCAAAGUCUUUGGG
rnacentral:rRNA from 1 species